rnacentral:rRNA from 1 species
GUGGGGAAUAUUGGACAAUGGGCGAAAGCCUGAUCCAGCCAUGCCGCGUGUGUGAAGAAGGUCUUCGGAUUGUAAAGCACUUUAAGUUGGGAGGAAGGGCAGUAAGUUAAUACCUUGCUGUUUUGACGUUACCGACAGAAUAAGCACCGGCUAACUUCGUGCCAGCAGCCGCGGUAAUACGAAGGGUGCAAGCGUUAAUCGGAAUUACUGGGCGUAAAGCGCGCGUAGGUGGUUUUGUAAGUUGGAGGUGAAAUCCCCGGGCUCAACCUGGGAACUGCCUCCAAAACUGCAUGACUAGAGUACGGUAGAGGGUAGUGGAAUUUCCUGUGAAGCGGUGAAAUGCGUAGAUAUAGGAAGGAACACCAGUGGCGAAGGCGACUACCUGGACUGAUACUGACACUGAGGUGCGAAAGCGUGGGGAGCAAACAGGAUUAGAAACCCGGGUAGUCC